AAGAAUCAGACCAAUCUCCUUGCAAAAAUGAUAAAAUUCAAGUUUUACGAAGAGAUCUGUUUAAAGCCAUAAUGAAACAAAAACCACCUAAAGAAACACGUGGCUUGAUGGAUGAUUUCAAUACACGCUUGUCUGCGCUGACACAGUUGCUGGAGUCAAUAUCAAUGGAAAUGGAAGUGGGAUUGGUAAUAAGGGAUGGUCUGAUGCCGUUUUCCCCCGAUUCUUCAAAGGAAAGCAAUUGUACAAGGGUCAUUGAAAGGAUUUCAGAGAGAGAAACUAAUUCGAAACCAAUAAAAUCAUUGAUGAUUAAAAUGACAUUCCUUGAUUUUGAUCCAAGUGAAAGUGAACACGUUGCAAGUGAAGAAAUGGUGAACGCAAUCUGUAAGCUGGAAAAGCUGGAAGCACUUGUGAUAUACCCGUUCAAGCUCAGAUACUCAGACGUGAAGACAAUUUGCAACACUCUCAGCAGUUUAAAAUACCUUUAUAUUAUGUUUAAAGACGAGCAUUUUCCAGAUUUCACAGACAUCGAGGACGUAAAAAGCACAUUUUCCAGCUUGAAAUCUUUGUGUUUUCCAACAACUCGACCCUAUAUGCAACUGAAAAAUUUCUGUGUUCGCCAUUUACCAAACAUCGAAUUACUUGCUAGCCCUGUUUACACGACAUUGUCUCGGCAAACUGAGCACCUUCCGUUGGAGAAAUCAGCUUUGCAGAAGCUGCGUGUAGCUCCGAGUUCUCUUCGUUUGCACGAAAUGUUUCCUUCUGCUUCGCAUUUAAUGGUAAAUUAUAAAUACACGCUUCUUGAUAAAUGCCAACCAAUGAAGGCAGAAACAUGCGCGGUUGUCAUAAUUGUAAGCAGAAAUGAAAUGCAGCUUCUUCGGUGUGUUACAUAUAAUCGGUUGGUUUAUCAAUAUUUCUGCAGAAGAUUUUCCUGCUCGAGCUGACACAGAGGAUCUCAGGACAUUUCUGCAGAGAUACUAAUAAAAAGAGACACAUUCGCUAUUCCCUUUAAUUUCUUCUGACAUUUACUGCUCUCAUUAAUAUCAAUUUUUUUUCAGAUCGUAUGGAAAGACGAUUGGACACACAAUGAACAAGAGUUAAUAGCAAUGCUGAGUUUUUCCAAAAUUUGCACCCUUUCUCUUAAAAAUGUACCUUCAAAGGAAAUUGUUUAUCGUUUCCUGGAGAAAUAUGGAGGUGAUAUAACCACGCUUCAAGUUUCAUCUCUCAAAAACAUCUUCUUGGGUAUCAACCUAAUUUUUGACUGCUGUCCUGAUUUGCGAAUACUUAUCCUGACGGAUGUGUUGUUGAUGAUAGAUUCCACAGUAGAAAGUUGUAAAUUUUUGAAAUUGAAGCGUCUGAUUUGGAAGAAUCACAAACAUCACGGUUUCAAAGUUUCCUGCCUGUCAAGCAUUCUGUCGGCGCCACUACUAGAUACUAUGAAAAUUGACUUGCCGCAUGACACUUUUGACGUCAAUGACCUGGAGAGACUUGCAUCAUUAAUUUCUAAUAAUGAGAUAUUGGGAAAUCUGGUUGAAGCAAGUGGAUGCAUACGUUUUAAUUCUACACGCGUUGUUGAUCAUGACAGUGAAAUUGUCAAAUCACUGAGCAAAAUCAUCAAAACAGCUUCAGCUCAUCUCCCAAACUUGACACAUCUCGAAGUUACUCAACGAUUUGAGAGUCCUGUUUUGGAUUACCUGGAUAUUAUUUUACCAGAGAGUUGUGAGGUUGUUGACGCAGGGGAAUCGGUGUCCGACUGGUUAAACGAUCCUAACUUGAUCUUGUUUUUGAAAGCGUACGAACCAAAAUCCAGUGAAAUUAUAUAUUGUGAGGAUUUCCUCCUAGAGAACCAUCAUCGGCACUUUUCCUGCUUCUUCGCUGUCAAUUCGGGAGGGUCAAUUUAACGCAUUUUUGCUAGAGCUCAUUUAAUUUAGUAAAUGUACUCAAAUUCAAUAGUUGUAAGUAAAAAAGGCUGUCCUCCAAGCCUGCGCCUAUUCGCAUGUUCAUUGUUUUCUUAAUCAUUGUAGUUG